AGUGAACGCUGGCGGUAGGCCUAACACAUGCAAGUCGAACGGCAGCACAGUAAGAGCCUGCUCUUACGGGUGGCGAGUGGCGGACGGGUGAGGAAUACAUCGGAAUCUACUUUUUCGUGGGGGAUAACGUAGGGAAACUUACGCUAAUACCGCAUACGACCUACGGGUGAAAGCAGGGGAUCUUCGGACCUUGCGCGAUUGAAUGAGCGGAUGUCGGAUUAGCUAGUUGGCGGGGUAAAGGCCCACCAAGGCGACGAUCCGUAGCUGGUCUGAGAGGAUGAUCAGCCACACUGGAACUGAGACACGGUCCAGACUCCUACGGGAGGCAGCAGUGGGGAAUAUUGGACAAUGGGCGCAAGCCUGAUCCAGCCAUACCGCGUGGGUGAAGAAGGCCUUCGGGUUGUAAAGCCCUUUUGUUGGGAAAGAAAAGCAGCAGGUUAAUACCCCGCUGUUCUGACGGUACCCAAAGAAUAAGCACCGGCUAACUUCGUG
rnacentral:rRNA from 1 species